rnacentral:misc_RNA from 1 species
GAUGAAGAACGUAGCGAAAUGCGAUAAGUAAUGUGAAUUGCAGAAUUCAGUGAAUCAUCGAAUCUUUGAACGCACAUUGCGCCCAUUAGCAUUCUAGUGGGCAUGCCUGUUCGAGCGUCAUUUCAACCCUUAAGCCCUGUUGCUUAGCGUUGGGAGCCUACAGUACUGUAGCUCCCCAAAGUUAGUGGCGGAGUCGGUUUCACACUCUAGACGUAGUAAUUUUUUCUCGUCUGUAGUUGAGCCGGUCCCCUGCCGUAAAACACCCAAUUUAUCAAGGUUGACCUCGGAUCAGGUAGGAAUACCCGCUGAACUUAAGCAUAUCAAUAAGCGGAGG